rnacentral:rRNA from 1 species
ACUGAAUAGAUACCCGGGUGGUCCCAGCCGUAAACGAUGCUCGCUAGGUGUCAGGCAUGGCGCGACCGUGUCUGGUGCCGCAGGGAAGCCGUGAAGCGAGCCACCUGGGAAGUACGGCCGCAAGGCUGAAACUUAAAGGAAUUGGCGGGGGAGCACAACAACGGGUGGAGCCUGCGGUUUAAUUGGACUCAACGCCGGACAACUCACCGGGGACGACAGCAAAAUGUAGGCCAGGCUGAAGACCUUGCCUGAAUCGCUGAGAGGAGGUGCAUGGCCGUCGCCAGUUCGUACUGUGAAGCAUCCUGUUAAGUCAGGCAACGAGCGAGACCCGUGCCCACUGUUACCAGCAUGUCCUCCGGGAUGAUGGGUACACUGUGGGGACCGCCGGUGUUAAAUCGGAGGAAGGUGCGGGCUACGGUAGGUCAGUAUGCCCC